rnacentral:rRNA from 1 species
CCUACGGGAGGCAGCAGUGGGGAAUAUUGCGCAAUGGGCGAAAGCCUGACGCAGCGACGCCGCGUGAGGGAUGAAGGUCUUCGGAUCGUAAACCUCUGUCAGCAGGGAAGAACGGUCACUGUGCUAAUCAGCAGUGAAUUGACGGUACCUGCAAAGGAAGCACCGGCUAACUCCGUGCCAGCAGCCGCGGUAAUACGGAGGGUGCGAGCGUUAAUCGGAAUUACUGGGCGUAAAGCGCUCGUAGGCGGUAUGUCAAGUAAAGGGGGAAAUCCCCGCGCUCAACGUGGGAACUGCCUUUGAAACUGGCAAACUGGAGUGUGUGAGAGGAUAGUGGAAUUCCAGGUGUAGGAGUGAAAUCCGUAGAUAUCUGGAGGAACAUCAGUGGCGAAGGCGACUAUCUGGCACAUAACUGACGCUGAGGAGCGAAAGUGUGGGUAGCAAACAGGAUUAGAUACCCCUGUAGUC